UACGUAGGGCGCAAGCGUUGUCCGGAAUUAUUGGGCGUAAAGAGCUCGUAGGCGGCUUGUCACGUCGGGUGUGAAAGCCCGGGGCUUAACCCCGGGUCUGCAUUCGAUACGGGCUAGCUAGAGUGUGGUAGGGGAGAUCGGAAUUCCUGGUGUAGCGGUGAAAUGCGCAGAUAUCAGGAGGAACACCGGUGGCGAAGGCGGCCCCCUGGGCCGCGCCUGACGCUGAGACGCGAAGGCUAGGGGAGCGAACGGGG
rnacentral:rRNA from 1 species